AAUUCAUAUGGAGCAUCACACCAGCUAUCUCCUGCUCCCUGUCCUGCACUGCAAAGGAGGCCUUUUCAUCCUCUCUACUGCCUCCAAUUUUUCUCACGAGGAAUGUGAGAGGAAAACCUAGAGCUUGUUCCUGAAGCAUGGUGCUAAGUCCAUAUGCAGCAGAUGGAGCUCAUGAGAAAAGAGUUGCUCUUGUGAAGACCAAAGCUUGAAAAAGCAUUCCCAGAAGCACGGAGAAGUGAGGAGAAAAGGCAAUGCACCUGGAGCUGGAGACCAAGGCCCUGUUCUUACUGAUGGCCCUUGGAGCAGAUAUUUGAAUUGGAGAGAUAAAACCGUGGUUUUUGGGGUGUUAAUUUUGGUGGCUGAUGCAUUCUGUGAUUGAUUUGGCUAUUACAACUGGUAUUGAUUUUAAACACAUUAAUUGCAAAAUCUCAAUUGUGAUUUGAUUUCUGUAUUUACAAUACUAAAAACGAGGCUUUCGCCAGGAGAAGACAAUUGGCAGUACUCAGUUGGAAGUGCUUAAUUGUUAAUAUAUAUCAGCCGUGGUUCUUCAGCGUCGUCAGUGUUGCUCAGUCUUGCUCUUUGUGGCGACUACUGAAUGCUUGAAAAAUUCUCUCCUAUACUCCCACUCUGCACUGUAGAAGAGAAAGAGAGGAGAGUGGAAGAAAAAAGAGAGGGAGAGGAGAAAGAAAGAGAGGAGAGAGAAACAUGGGCAUGGAUGAUACAUAAGAUAAUUCCAGAAGAUUUCAGCAUAGCAGAUAAAAUACAGCAAAUCCUAACCAGCACAGGUUUGAGUGACAAACGGGCCGGUUCCAUGGACACAGGUGACUUCAUCAGGUAUUUUCAUAAGUGUUUACAUGUCUUUACUGUGACACCUUCAGAUUAGAGAUUUUAAAGGCUUUUAAGCGGUAUAAGGUGCUUCCUGGGAGAGUUAUUGCAUAGCACUUCCAUGGCAUGGAAUAGUAUUUGGUGU